rnacentral:lncRNA from 1 species
AGAGGUUCUGUUCCACUUUGCGCUUCUGCUGACACAGAGGAAAGUAGAGUUCCGGUGGAAUAAUCCUGUAUUGGUGUAGCACAGGGAGGGGAAGAGGUGAGGAAAAGUCACUACUUUGCCACUACUAACGACCAAGCAAGUUACUACUAGACAAGCAACAUAGCUCAACGAAUAAUACGCUAAGUUCUAAGAAGGAGCAAGACUCUCGUGAUAGCUUCACACUGGUGGCCCUACAGAGCUCGAAGUCAAGGCCCCUACUAUAUUGCAAGUAUCAAGUUGAGUAGCCAG